GCCCAGCUAGCUCAAUCGGUAGACCGUGAGACUUUUACGAAGAUCUCCUGGCGAGUUUGCUAUGCUACUAUGGAACGCCAUGUGCACGGUUCUGGUCAUCUAAAGGCUGCGGGCUCGAGCCCCGCAUGGGGCU